GCCAUACCAUGCUGAAUAUACAGAUUCUCGUUAGAUCACCGAAGUCAAGCAUCAUUGGGCGCGGUCAGUACUUGGGUGGGUGACCACCUGGGAACACCGCGUGCAGU
rnacentral:rRNA from 1 species